UACGAAGGGGGCUAGCGUUGUUCGGAAUUACUGGGCGUAAAGCGUACGUAGGCGGAACGUUAAGUCAGGGGUGAAAUCCCGAGGCUCAACCUCGGAACUGCCUUUGAUACUGGCGCUCUUGAGUCCGGGAGAGGUGAGUGGAACUCCUAGUGUAGAGGUGAAAUUCGUAGAUAUUAGGAAGAACACCAGUGGCGAAGGCGGCUCACUGGCCCGGAACUGACGCUGAGGUACGAAAGCGUGGGGAGCAAACAGG
rnacentral:rRNA from 1 species